ACGGCUCAGUAACACGUGGAUAACCUGCCCUGCGGUGGGAAAUAACCCCGGGAAACUGGGGAUAAUGUCCCAUAGGCUACGGAUGCUGGAAUGCUCUGUAGCUCAAAGAUUUAUCGCCACAGGAUGGGUCUGCGGCCGAUUAGGUAGUUGUUGGGGUAACGGCCCAACAAGCCUUUGAUCGGUACGGGUUGUGGGAGCAAGAGCCCGGAGAUGGAUUCUGAGACACGAAUCCAGGCCCUACGGGGCGCAGCAGGCGCGAAAACUUUACAAUGCGGGAAACCGUGAUAAGGGAACUCCGAGUGUCCGUCAAUGCGGACUGUCCGUAUGUUUAAAAAGCAUGCGAAGAAAGGGCCGGGCAAGACCGGUGCCAGCCGCCGCGGUAAUACCGGCGGCUCGAGUGGUGGCCACUAUUACUGGGCUUAAAGCGUUCGCAGCUGGGUUGUUAAGUCUCUUGGGAAAUCUAUCGGCUUAACCGAUAGGCGUCCAAGGGAUACUGGCAAUCUAGGGACCGGGAGAGGUGAGGGGUACUUCAGGGGUAGGAGUGAAAUCCUGUAAUCCUUGGGGGACCACCUGUGGCGUAGGCGCCUCACCAGAACGGCUCCGACAGUGAGGGACGAAAAGCUGGGGGAGCAAACCGGAUUAGAUACCCGGGUAGUCCAGCCGUAAACGAUGCGCGUUAGGUGUAUCGAUGACCACGAGUCAUCGAGGUGCCGAAGGGAAACCGUGAAACGCGCCGCCUGGGAAGUACGGUCGCAAGGCUGAAACUUAAAGGAAUUGGCGGGGGAGCAC
rnacentral:rRNA from 1 species